CACGCGGCCCCGGGAGGCGGGUUCACCGCCGGCCCGCGCGGCGCGCCGGGAGCCCGGAAGCCGUUCGGGCCGGGACGUGCGGCGGCGCUGGGUUCAUCCAGAAUGACAAUGUACGUUGACAAAUCAAGGGGUCUAAACUGAAGGGCGUGGGAAGGCCAGAGAGACUGGAAGCCUCAGCUGUUGUGUGCGGAGAAGCUGUCAGCCUUCUAAGAGAGCAUGUAGCCAGCAAGUGCAUCGUGGUGCUUCGGUACCAAGCUGAUACCACAGGCCUCCAUCUUUUUGUGAAAAGGGAUCACAAGGAAAUGUGCUGAUGUUGAAGGGGGAAAGGUGGUGGGGGAAGAGAUUUGAGCGUCAGUGCCAUGGAUGUAAGAGGAGAGCAGCAGCAGGACGUAAAGCACAAGCCGUUUAAACAAUGCUUGGAUAAAGCUGCCAAUCGUGUGACUUCAGAAGCUGAGAGACAUGGUAGCUGGAAAUUCCCACUUUGCACUGGCAAAAAGUUUCCAACAGUCCCAUGUACAUGGUGCUGCCACAUGCAUGUGGGAGAACAUGGAGGAGAAUGUGUCUGGGCAGUCUCUCAGCCUCACUUGUUCUACAAAACCUUGCUGCCCUGCUGUAAAACAACCUCAGGUAUCGCCAAAAUGAAAAAGUCCAAGAGUUUCAGGGAGUUGCCUCCCCUUCAGGAGGAAGGGAAGAGAAACAACUUAUCAGAUGAAGUGCUGAUCCAUUUCACCUACGUAAACAGGAAAGGAGUGAAGAAACAAUGAGAAUGUAGAACAACCUCCUCCUGCCCUUUCAGGACACUCCCCGGAUGUCAUGGGCAUGACACCAUGUCACGAUGAACUGAUGGAACUAGGCUGCAGAACUUCAAACACCACCAUUGUCUAGUCUUCCAAACAGGCUGAGCUCUAGCAUUUGCACAGACACAAAAAGAAGAAAAAGAAACAAGCCAAGCUUGCCAGCUACUGUGAUAGAGAUGGACUGUUUUUCCACCAGAGAAGUCCGGUCAAUGGGAGUGUAUCUGGUGCUGGCAAGCAUGCAAUGAUAUAAUGCAGCAUGCUCAUAGCCUGAAAGGUUCAGGAGGAGAGCGUUGGGUUACCCACAUGAGAACAUUUUUCUGCCGAAUUGAAAUCAUGACAUGCCCUAAUUGUGGAAUAAGGCUUGAGCACUGAAGGUAACCUCUCCAGGGAGGUAUACAAGCGGCUGGAAGCACAGACAAAGGGAUGGAGAUCUGGGUCCCUGUGGAGAUAUGUGUGAGCACAGGCAGUCACUGACAAACAUGACACCUGAGGGCAGAAUCUAAUGAGGAGACACCAAGGAAGAAAGGUGCAUUAACUUGGUCAACUUAUAUUUUGCACUGCACCUCAAAACCCAAAGAAAGCUGCUUCUUAAUAGACAAGGGCCAGGAGAACAGCCAAUGGCCAAUGAAGGUCAUGCAGCUGCGAAGAAGUGGCCCAGUAAUAGAGCCAAGCUUCCCUUUAUCUUGGAUCUGAAAGAGGCAACCAGGCAGAUGCUGCUACCUAGGUCAGCCCUGUUUUAGGUUGCCACCCUUGACAUACCCUAUAUGUGGGAGAGAGUUACCUAACCAUAGACCAGGAAGGGAAGAAAGCGUUCCUAGUACAUUAUUUUUUCUCAUCCUAAUGCAGAUGUCUCAAAGGCAUUCUAUGAACAUGUCUUCAGAAGGACCUUUCCCCACCACCACUACCAAUGGCAAAUGGUACCCAGGUUACUGAGGUAUCAGCUGAGGAAAGGAGAAGUCCCCUUCUGGUGAGCUCUCUAGUGUUCUCCACUUCUCUAAAGCAGAGCAACACCGGAAGCUCCGAGGAGACAAAUCAGCAGUUCCUACAAUGACCCAGAUGUGAGUUGGACCUGGCAGAUCCAAGGACAUCUUCUAUGUUUAUUCAUAAGCUUCACUAGUCCAAGCAGCAUGCCUGGCUCUCCAGAGCUGAGUGUACAUCAAAUAUCUCCAACACGCCACACAGAAAUUUCUCUCUGAAGAGUAUAUGAUACAUCCAGGUCGAGCACCCUUCCUCCAGCUUUCAGCACUUCUCCACCAUGACUAGCAGCCGCAGCAGCCUGGAAAAGCCCUCCAGUAGCCCCCACUGAAACCCAUUCACCUACCAAGCACUGCUGCACUCACCUGUAGCAACCUUCUUCUCUUCCUCACUCCCGAUAACAAUGACAUCACAGGACGUUACAUACUAAUAACUUAGAACAUCUGUGAAAGAAAAAGAAGAGUCAGUUUGCUACUUAGGAAGAUAAAACCCCAUGGCAAUGUGGAGGUGGUUACCACCAAGCAUGAACCUUCUAAGUAAAAACAUGAGAAAUAAGAGCAUUUUCAAAGAAUUUCUGUAAGGUAGAAGUUCAGAAUGUAGACCAACAUUUUUUUGGCACACAUUUGAAAAACGAUGACCACAUUUAUCACAGGAAAUAUCAACAGAAGGCUCUAAACUACUGCCUAACCACCUGAUUUCUACUGAAAAGCACAGUAUUUCUUUUAAGAAGGUGUCAAAGAUGAGACCCAUGAGCAGUAUUGGGGGAACAAGUGGGGUUAAAACACCUAGAUAUUCAGGAGAUACCAAAAGAUACGAGGAAAGGGGAAUAAGAUGAAAGAGAAAUGCCAUAGAAGGGGAACACACAACUGUUACAUGCAUCAGCUGUAGAGAGGGUGUCGUGAAAAGUCAUUAUCAUCCCAUUUGAAGCCCUCAGGGGUGAACAGACUGGGACCUAUAAAGGAAUAUGCAUUAAAAGAAAAGAGACAACUGGCUGGAGAUCAUCUCUGCCGGGACUCGAACCCGGAACCUCUGGAUUAGAAGUCCAGCGCGCUCGUCCAUUGCGCCACAGAGACCUCACCAUAAGCACAACAUCGGCACCAGAACUGAAAAAUCCCCCACCUCCUGCAUCACUGGAGGGGUCUCAACACCUUAUUUUCAUGGCAUGGUGCUGAGGCAGCAUGAAAAUCUGCUGCCCAGCUCAAACUCCCUUACAAAUCACCAUCUCUAGGCAUCCCCUUCUUCCACAGUGAUUGGCAAUAAUUCUGGGUAUGAUCUGUAUCUCUCUCAGCAGCAGGGAUGCAGCAAAAACCUGGAUGCAGGCUUGUAUCUGCAUCUCUGGCAACCUCUCUGCAGCAUCUCUAGCUCGACUGAGGGCAGAGCUAAAUCCUGGAGUAGAGUCAAUUGCUGCAACUCCCUUAGCACCAUCACAGCAUCCUCACUGCAGAAGCCAAGAGAGAUAAAGAUAAAAGAAGAUUUAGCUUACAACACUGAACGCUGACAAUAAGGAAGAAAGCUCUGUCAUGACAAAAAAUGCAGAAACCUGUGGUUUGAGCAGAGGAAUAAAAGAAAAAGCAGCUAUCGUGGGUUUAUUUUAAGCAAGCUGUCAAUCAUGGGGUUUAUGUUUCUCUAUGUGCAUCUUCCAUUGGAAAAAAAUUAAAAUGAAAUCAAACCAACAGGAAAUAUCCUUUUACAUCCAAUAGCUCAGUGGCUAUGAACCCAGUGACACAAUUCCUUGCUGUGAACAAACACAUUUUGCAUUUCUAAACUGCAGGAAUUUUAAGAGUAUUUUUUACUCCCAGACAUGCUCUUAAUUAGGUACAAACAUGAAAGGAGACAUGCUAACUGCAAUACAACUUGCUCAGAAGAAUGAACACUCCCUGAAACUACAAGCUUGUACCUCGGGGUCAGUGUGACCUGAAGACCCAACCUAAGCCAGCUCUUACAGCUGAGAACACUCCAUACCAAAAAUAAAACAAUAGAUAAUUCACCUUUCAAAGGAACCAGGCAUAUAACCACGGCCAGAACUGCAAUGGACCAGAGUCCAGAAUAAACCCUGCCACUAACUACCUGUGCGGGACAUCCAUUGAGGCCAAUGAAGAUCAUCAUGCCACUGACCAUAUGUGUGUAGCACCUACACAGGACAAGCACAUACUGACCCUCCAAGGGACAAGUACAUACUGCUUAUACAAGCAACAGUAACCGAUUAGCCCACCCCUUAACAUGAAAAAAUGUGAUUGCUCUAUAGAAGUGUACUGUCACAUAUAUAAUCCCUGCUUUCCGCUGUAUCUGUGUCCUCCAUGCAUUAGCCUGGGGCACCACUAUGCACAUAGGUAAAAUAUAAAGGAACAAAUUCCCUUGGGAAUUCUAUGAUAAGCAUCUUUGUCUCCCUCCUUGGCUAGCGAAGAACUUUUACACAAAUCGGGUUGUGAGGUCACAUGGCGCUAUUGAGAAGAGACACAGCACUUACAACCUCAGCACAUCUAAAGCAAACCCAAAGAAAUCGGUUUUCCUUUUACUGAUGCUCUGGGGCCUUGGUAAGGUUUACAGUUGUCUUGACAAGUAAAAUCCAGCUAGAAGUGGUGGGAAAGAAAGAAGGCAUUUAACUUCUAUCAGACAAAACCCCUCCUGCUGUAAUAGAUACCCAGUAAAUCAGUAAUUCUUGAAAUAAAUUACUUUGUGAACCAACUAUAGUGCCAGUGUAAGCGCUGUAAUCCCACCAGUACAUUGAAAAAACUCAAAGCCUAGAAAACACCUAUCUAGAGGGUGAACAAAGGUUGUGCUUAAAAAAAUUACAUGUAAUAAAUCUUAGACAAAGUUAUAAAGCACCAAUAUAGAACAGAAAGAAAGAAAAAAAUCUCACACAGCCUGUAGCUGCACUAUGUGCAUUCCUCAUGGAAAGAAGGUGGUGUCGUCACACCAGCUCCUUUUAACAUAAUUUUGGGAAGCUGCACCUCAAAAGCAGUGCCUAUUUUGAAGUCACUAACAGUUUUGCCAGCAAGUAGAAACUCUGGAGAUGAAGUAUUAAAUUGCGCAAACCUCAGAAGAAUGACUGUGGCUUUAUGGGCACCUGCAUUAUGGGAGUCGGAGGGCAGAUGAGUUUCAAAAGAACCCCCAUUCCCCCUGACUGGAGCUGGACUGCGGCCUUGUUGCAGCUCUGCAACCUGCCUUUCCCUGUGCUCUCGUAUGUCUUUGGGUAACACGUAGCCCAGCAGCACACAUGCCCAAAUAUUUACCAGCCAACCAGCAUUCAACAUUUGGAGGACAGCCUGCUCCAAUCAGCCCUAAUUACACCAGAAACAGAAAAGGUCCAGGAGUUUGAGCGGGUCCUGGUGAACAUGACACAUUUCCAGCCACGAAGGUAUGGGGAAAACCACUCACUGCAGGGAAAUGGAUGUGCCACAGGCUGCACCCCCAAAGAGCAUGCCCUGAUCAGCAGCACUGCUAGUAGUGCCACCAGAGCCCUCUUGCCUUCUCCCUGUCCUCAUCCCAGCACUUGCCUGUGCUGGCACAAGGACAUGGCCACGGGCCACACAGUACCAAAUGCUCCCCAGCGAAUGCUAGAAAGCAAUGUGCAACUUUCAAGUCCUCAGGCCACCUGCCAGAAGCCUUUGUAUGUUUAAUAAUUUGGCCAGUCUUCCCCAAGGAACUGACUGUCUCUCCGUUAUCCCCAUACAUGACAUACUUGGAAAGCAGAGACUGGAGUGAACCGCAUAGACGCAGCCACAUCAGAAGCACCCAGAUCACAGGCAGGUACCUUUGCCCUUGAUUUGACCAUCACAUCACACAUGUCUUCAAACCCUCCAGUGCCUUUGUGAGCCUCACUUUGUCUGCAGGACUGUGACUGGGCUCAUCUAAAGAUGUUCAUCAGUGACUCAUUAUCAGGGGGAGCAAAAUGCACUUGUCAUCAUGAGAUACAGAGUCAGUUUUGGAAGCUUUUGCCUUCGGUGCCAUGGGCUGGCAUUGGUGGCUGUGCUUAAGCUUGCUGGGCAACGGCACAACUCAGCAAGUGGCUGAUUUUCUGCAAGCUUACAGUUGAAUUACAGGGGAUGCUCUUUCAAAAAGCAGCUCAACUGUCAUCUUAGUAUCUGACUAAGAUAUAUACAACUGGUUGAUUUAUAUUUUGCUGGGAGUUAGUCCCCACCAGAGUUAUUUUUGCAUCCCAGAUAAAAUAGGUGAAGCACGAGGGCAUGACUAGCUCCUGUCAGGGGGCUGAAGUAAUAAUCACCAGGGUACAAAAAGGAGAGUGAGGAGCUGACACUUCUGAGGAGCAGGUUGGAUCCCAUCUACAAAGUGGAAAACUAAAACUGACACCAGCCCAUAUGAGGGCCCAAGCAAAGAUACCUUAUGGCCCAUACUUGUAAUUGGUGUUGUGAAAAUCACUGCAGGACUGAGAGACUGAUGCCACACAGACAAAGCUGAGCAUAAACACAGACUAAAAGAUGCCAAGGCAAUGAUAGAAAAGGAAGGCCCUAGUAGAAACCCCAAAUCUAACACCUUUUGCCUACAGAGCACUUGAUUUAGAAGUCAUUGACCACAGUGUUCCCCUCUGGCCUGUUUUUUGGAUGGAGCACAGCAAGCUGGCCAAGACCAGAUGCUGGAAGUUAGGAAUAUUACCUGGGUCUCCCUUGUCAUGUCACCACCCACAGCUGCAUAUCCCUGAUGGGGAUCUUGAGCAAGCAGUCAGAAGCAAGUAGCUAGGGAAUACCUGGAACAACACGGAUGUCCAGCAAGGGUGGAUUUACCCAAGAGGUUGAGAAUGUGUCCUCAGCUGGGAUCCUCAAAAUGGCUGCAGGAGGGAGGGACACUCCAAGCCAGGUGGGCAACAUAGACCAUGCUCCCAGCUCAGGGCACUGCAGAGGAAACACUAUCUUCUAUCUGGCACACCCAGAAGGGCUGAGCUCCAGCCUAGCAGCACCUGGGGUGGCCAAGGUCAUCUUUGCUGCCAUCUUAGCAGGGGCCAGAGACCAUGCAUAAGUCCCUUUGGCCAUCCACACCACCAGCUCUUCAGGGACAACUAAUGGCAAUGAGAUCUGACUGGUACCCUAUCCCUAAUGGCUUGGUCUAACUGUGGAACACCUCAUUUUGGCUCUCACUUGGGCACUAGGAACAAAGCCAACACUGUACUCAGGAGCGAAGCCACAUGCAAAGCAGCAAACAGCUGGUGCGGAGCUCAACAGCCAUUGGAGAUGCUACCUCACAUCAGCAGAUGCAGUGUAUUGGCUCUGCCUGAGCCCCACAGCAGCCCUCAUAGUGCUGUGCUUUGUAUUGGUAGCUAGAAAGGUGGUGAGAACACGUCAGUGUUUUGGCUACUGCUGAACAGUCCUCACACAGCAUCAAGGCUGUCUCCAACAUUCCACCCCCUCACCAGUAGGCUGGGGUGGGCAAGGUCUUGGGAGGGGACAAAGGAGAAGGAAGAGAGGGCAUUUGGUAUUUAUGACGUUUGUCUUCCAGAGCAGCUGCUGUGCAUACUGAAGUCCUGCUUCCCGGGAAGUGACCGAAUAUUGCCUGCUGAUGGGAAGUAGAGAAUGACACCUGUUGUUUCCCUUUGCUUCCAUGCACACAUUUGCUAUUGCUUUAUUAAACUGCCUUUAUCUUGAA